rnacentral:rRNA from 1 species
GACGAACGCUGGCGGCGUGCUUAACACAUGCAAGUCGAACGGAAAGGCCCUGCUUUUGUUGGGUGCUCGAGUGGCGAACGGGUGAGUAACACGUGAGUAACCUGCCCUUGACUUUGUGAUAACUUCAGGGAACUGGGGCUAAUACCGGGUAGGAGCUCCUGAUGCAUGGUGGUGGUUGGAAAGUUUCGGCGGUUGGAGAUGGACUCGCGGCUUAUCAGCUUGUUGGUGUGGUAGUGGCUUACCAAGGCUUUGACGGGUAGCCGGCCUGAGAGGGUGACCGGCCACAUGGGGACUGAGAUACGGCCCAGACUCCUACGGGAGGCAGCAGUGGGGAAUAUUGCACAAUGGGCGGAAGCCUGAUGCAGCAACGCCGCGUGCGGGAUGACGGCCUUCGGGUUGUAAACCGCUUUCGCCUGUGACGAAGCGUGAGUGACGGUAAUGGGUAAAGAAGCACCGGCUAACUACGUG